rnacentral:snRNA from 1 species
AAGGCGGUUCCUCCAGGGAGAGGCUCUUUCAUUGCACUUGGGUCGAGCAGACCUCUGCGAGUGCUCCUAAUGCGAGUAACUCGGGCGCACAAUUUUUGGUAGUCGUGACAUCGUUCGCGCUGUCCCGGU